rnacentral:rRNA from 1 species
UACGAAGGGGGCUAGCGUUGCUCGGAAUCACUGGGCGUAAAGCGCACGUAGGCGGAUCUUUAAGUCAGGGGUGAAAUCCCAAGGCUCAACCUUGGAACUGCCUUUGAUACUGGGGAUCUCGAGUCCGGAAGAGGCGACUGGAAUUCAUGGUGUAGCAGUGAAAUGCGUAGAGAUCAUGAGGAAGACCAGUGGCGAAGGCGGGUCUCUGGACAGUUCCUGACACUGAGACACGAAGGCCAGGGGAGCAAACGGG